UUAAAUUAUUAUUUUAUAUUAUUUCAGGUCAAGGUGCGGCUUAUGAAUAAGAGGAGGUGAAUUACAUUAUUUAUGAAUAAACGGAUUAAUAUUUUAAAAUAUUUAUGAAGGUGGAUUUGUUAGUAAUAUUUUUUAUAAAAUUUAUAUGAUUAUAGUUCUAAAUUAAGUACACAUCGCCCGUCGCUCUA
rnacentral:rRNA from 1 species